GAAACCUGGUUGAUCCUGCCAGUAGUCAUACGCUCGUCUCAAAGAUUAAGCCAUGCAUGUCUAAGUAUAAACGCUUUAUACUGUGAAACUGCGAAUGGCUCAUUAUAUCAGUUAUAGACUAUUCAAUAAUCUCUUACUACUUGGAUAACCGUAGUAAUUCUAGAGCUAAUACAUGCAUAAAUACCCAACUUCAC
rnacentral:rRNA from 1 species